UUAGAGAUAAGAGGGUGCUAGCUUGCUAGAACUUAGAGACAGGUGCUGCACGGCUGUCGUCAGCUCGUGUCGUGAGAUGUUGGGUUAAGUCCCGCAACGAGCGCAACCCACGUAUUUAGUUGCUAACGGUUCGGCCGAGCACUCUAAAUAGACUGCCUUCGUAAGGAGGAGGAAGGUGUGGACGAUGUCAAGUCAUCAUGGCCCUUAUGCCCAGGGCGACACACGUGCUACAAUGGCAUAUACAAUGAGACGCAAUACCGCGAGGUGGAGCAAAUCUAUAAAAUAUGUCCCAGUUCGGAUUGUUCUCUGCAACUCGAGAGCAUGAAGCCGGAAUCGCUAGUAAUCGUAGAUCAGCCAUGCUACGGUGAAUACGUUCCCGGGUCUUGUACUCACCGCCCGUCACACCAUGGGAGUUGAUUUCACUCGAAGCCGGAAUACUAAACUAGUUACCGUCCACAGUGGAAUCAGCGACUGGGGUGAAGUCGUAACAAGGUAACCGUAGGAGAACCUGCGGUUGGAUCACCUCCUUUCUAG
rnacentral:rRNA from 1 species